rnacentral:rRNA from 1 species
AGUGAACGCUGGCGGUAGGCCUAACACAUGCAAGUCGAACGGCAGCACAGUAAGAGCUUGCUCUUACGGGUGGCGAGUGGCGGACGGGUGAGGAAUACAUCGGAAUCUACUUUUUCGUGGGGGAUAACGUAGGGAAACUUACGCUAAUACCGCAUACGACCUACGGGUGAAAGCAGGGGAUCUUCUGACCUUGCGCGAUUGAAUGAGCCGAUGUCGGAUUAGCUGGUUGGCGGGGUAAAGGCCCACCAAGGCGACGAUCCGUAGCUGGUCUGAGAGGAUGAUCAGCCACACUGGAACUGAGACACGGUCCAGACUCCUACGGGAGGCAGCAGUGGGGAAUAUUGGACAAUGGGCGCAAGCCUGAUCCAGCCAUACCGCGUGGGUGAAGAAGGCCUUCGGGUUGUAAAGCCCUUUUGUUGGGAAAGAAAAGCAGCAGGUUAAUACCCCGCUGUUCUGACGGUACCCAAAGAAUAAGCACCGGCUAACUUCGUG